AUUGAACGCUGGCGGCAGGCCUAACACAUGCAAGUCGAGCGGAUGAAGGGAGCUUGCUCCUGGAUUCAGCGGCGGACGGGUGAGUAAUGCCUAGGAAUCUGCCUGGUAGUGGGGGAUAACGUCCGGAAACGGGCGCUAAUACCGCAUACGUCCUGAGGGAGAAAGUGGGGGAUCUUCGGACCUCACGCUAUCAGAUGAGCCUAGGUCGGAUUAGCUAGUUGGUGGGGUAAAGGCCUACCAAGGCGACGAUCCGUAACUGGUCUGAGAGGAUGAUCAGUCACACUGGAACUGAGACACGGUCCAGACUACUACAGGAGGCAGCAGUGGGGAAUAUUGGACAAUGGGCGAAAGCCUGAUCCAGCCAUGCCGCGUGUGUGAAGAAGGUCUUCGGAUUGUAAAGCACUUUAAGUUGGGAGGAAGGGCAGUAAGUUAAUACCUUGCUGUUUUGACGUUACCAACAGAAUAAGCACCGGCUAACUUCGUG
rnacentral:rRNA from 1 species